rnacentral:lncRNA from 1 species
CUCUCGGACGAUCUGUCCGCCGCCGCCGCCGUUCAACGGCGGUGCCCGCCGGACGGAGGCCGGCGUCGGCUCCUCUCAUCUCUCCCUGAACUCUCCCCCUCGCUUCUCCUAUAUCCCUCUCGCCUCUAUCGCUCAUCUCUCUAUCUCAAGACAGCCGGAACAAGGCGGCAGACAGCCACCUUCCACGAUGCGCCGCCGCCUGGUUCUCCUCUCCGGCGAAACGGCCGCCAUCUCCAUCUCUAUCUCCAUCUCUUCUAUUUCUCUCUCUACACGCCCUGACUCUCUCCCUCUCUACACUCUCAUACGCGCACGGACUCGGCGUAAGCCGCGCCGCCGCCGGAAACAAGACAGCAGACGUCCCACCGUGGUGCGCCGCCGCCUGAUCCUUCUUCUCAGUCGGAGCCACCUCCGCCUCACCUGAAAUCGGUAAACCCUAACUCCCUGUUCUCUUUUCCUUUUUAUUUUCCUCAUCUUCUUCAUUUUAAUUAAAAGCUGAAACCCUCUCCUCUUUCCCCUUUCUAGCAGAACAGAGCCAAGGCUCCGCUGCCUUCCGUUGACCAUCGGCAGCCCCGCGGCUGCCGCCCCCUAACCUCGAUUCACACACACACACAGCAGGGUUUCAAGCCAAGAUGCAGUCGAACACUUAGCAAAUAGGAUUUGAGCAUAAAUCAAA